AACUUUGCGCCGCGGCAAUAUCGUAACCAAUGUGGUUAAUCCGAGGUACGAUUAUUGCUAGUUGAAAACUUUACUGG